UUCUCACACAACGAUGUCCUAGUUUAUUAAAACAAGAAAUCAUCAAUACAUGGAAAAUACCAUUCAACUGCAUAUACAUGAUCAAUAUAUAACAUACAGUGGGUCUGGAAUUAUUGACACCCUUGAUAAAGAUAAUAAUGACUGAAUAAAAUACAUCAAUAUAUAAAAUACAGUGGGUCUGGAAUUAUUGACACCCCUGAUAAAGAUAAUAAUGACUGUAUAAAUAAAUAAUUUAAAUACUGAGCUCUAUCAUCUGCUCAACAACAUGUGUCAAUUAUAUUAUUUUAUGUUAAUACGGUUGAUCUGAUUUAAAAUAUUUUGUUUAACAAGUAAUAUUUAUUUUCUAAAUUAUUGACCCCCCUAUAGAUUCUAAAGGUAUAAAUUAUUGACCCCCCUAUAGAUUCUAAAGGUCUAAAUUAUUGACCCCCUAUAGAUCCUAAAGGUCUAAAUUAUUGACCCCCUAUAGAUUCUAAAAGUCUAAUUUAUUGACCCCCUAUAGAUUCUAAAGGUCUAAAUUAUUGACCCCCCUAUAGAUUCUAAAGGUAUAAAUUAUUGACCCCCUAUAGAUUCUAAAGGUCUAAAUUAUUGACCCCCUAUAGAUUCUAAAGGUCUAAAUUAUUGACCCCCUAUAGAUUCUAAAGGUCUAUAUUAUUGACCCCCUAUAGAUUCUAAAGGUAUAAAUUAUUGACCCCCUAUAGAUUCUAAAGGUCUAAUUUAUUGACCCCCCUAUAGAUUCUAAAGGUAUAAAUUAUUGACCCCCUAUAGAUUCUAAAGGUAUAAAUUAUUGACCCCCUAUAGAUUCUAAAGGUAUAAAUUAUUGACCCCCUAUAGAUUCUAAAGGUCUAAUUUAUUGACCCCCUAUAGAUUCUAAAGGUCUAAAUUAUUGACCCCCUAUAGAUUCUAAAGGUCUAAAUUAUUGACCCCCUAUAGAUUCUAAAGGUCUAAAUUAUUGACCCCCUAUAGAUUCUAAAGGUAUAAAUUAUUGACCCCCUAUAGAUUCUAAAGGUAUAAAUUAUUGACCCCCUAUAGAUUCUAGUAAUUAAAGUAGUCAGGAGGUCAGUAUUUGGUUCUAUAGUCAUAGUAAUGACAUCAUCAAACUCCUGGAGAUUUUGGGCUGUCAAUCAUUUUGACCCCUAACUUAAAAAAUAUAUAUAUUUCUCUCAGCAAUUGUAUUAGUUUAAAAUAAUAUAAUUAGUUUAUAAUAAUAUACUAUAAUUUAUGUUGAGCAAUAGGUCAGUAUUUGAUUUAUUUAAUAUAGUCAUUAUUGCUAAUCUUUAGCAAGGAUGUCAAUAAUUUCUGACCCCUCUGUAUAUUCUCAAGGCGAAUAUUAAAAAAGUAGAGCAAAAAUAAACACUUCACAAAGUUAAAUAAAAAACUGGCACAUUGACAUGAAGCUACAAUAGAAGCUGACAGGUCGAAGCUACAAUAGAAGCUGACAGGUAGAAGCUACAAUAGAAGCUGACAGGUAGAAGCUACAAUAGAAGCUGACAGGUUGAAGCUACAAUAGAAGCUGACAGGUUGAAGCUACAAUAGAAGCUGACAGGUUGAAGCUAAAACAGAAAUAUAAACAUUUCAACAAAUGGUUUUAUCAGUCUUGUUCACAGGAGGCUGCUGAGGGGAGGAGCCUCAUUAUAACGUCUGGAACGGAGCCAAUGGAACAGCAUCAAACAUGGAAACCAUGGAAACCACAUGUUUGAUGUAUUUGAUACCAUUCCACUGAUUCCUCUUCAGCCAUUACCACGAGCCCCUCCUCCCUAAUUAAGGUGCCACCAGCCUCCUGUGGUCCUGUUGAUAUACCUGUGAUUAUCAGGUACUGGACAUAAGAGGGUCUGUAACAGAUUCUAACAGGAGACCUUAGUCCAUCGUUCCAUUCAAUUCAACACUAUCAAUACCUGAGGGGGAUUAGAAAGACAUUGUUUAUGGGGAACACAUAUAUAGAAUAACCAGGAAAUGGAUAUAAACCCAUAAUACAAACAUGGGUAGUAAAACUUCUAAAAGUAAAGAACUAACUACUGGAAGUGGAUUAUAGAGGAGUGACCAACACGUUGAUCAGAGGACUCUGUCUCACCAAGAUUCAUAUCACUCAGUUAUAUACUCAGAAACUCAGCUUUGUUAGGUGGGAUAGGUCUCUAUAGAAAGUUACUGUCUCUCUAUAGUAACUCAGCUCUAUAGUUAUAGUCUCUCUAUAGUAACUCAGCUCUAUAGUUAUAGUCUCUCUAUAGUAACUCAGCUCUAUAGUUAUAGUCUCUAUAGUAACUCAGCUCUAUAGUUAUAGUCUCUCUAUAGUAACUCAGCUCUAUAGUUAUAGUCUCUCUAUAGUAACUCAGCUCUAUAGUUAUAGUCUCUCUAUAGUAAAUCAGCUCUAUAGUUAUAGUCUCUCUAUAGUAACUCAGCUCUAUAGUUAUAGUCUCUCUAUAGUAACUCAGCUCUAUAGUUAUAGUCUCUCUAUAGUAACUCAGCUCUAUAGUUAUAGUCUCUCUAUAGUAACUCAGCUCUA
rnacentral:lncRNA from 1 species